CAAAAACAUAGCUGUAUGGAGGUACAUACAGUGAUUUCUGCUCAAUGAGUUUAAAUAGCCGCAGUACCCUGACUGUGCAAAGGUAGCGUAAUCAUUUGUCUUAUAAUUGAAGACUCGUAUCAAUGAACAUAUGGGGGCCAACUAUACCAGCGGUUAUAAAUGAAAUUACUGAGCGAGUGAAAAUUCUUGCGCUCCUUAAUAGACGAGAAGACCCUAGAAAUUUUUACAAACGUUUUUGUUGGGGCAACAUAGUAACAUAUAACUUACUUUAUAGUCACGAAACUUGUUAGAUAGUGCAGAAUUACUCUAGGGAUAACAGCAUAAUGUAUAAUCGUUUGUGACCUCGAUGUUGGAUUAGGAAGUUGUAACCUAGAAGGUAAUUGAUUUUGCUCUGUUCG
rnacentral:rRNA from 1 species